UACGGGGGGGCAAGCGUUGUUCGGAAUUACCGGGCGUAAAGGGCUCGUAGGUGGCCAACUAAGUCAGACGUGAAAUCCCUCAGCUUAACUGGGGAACUGCGUCUGAUACUGGAUGGCUUGAGUUUGGGAGAGGGAUGCGGAAUUCCAGGUGUAGCGGUGAAAUGCGUAGAUAUCUGGAGGAACACCGGUGGCGAAGGCGGCGCUCUGGACUGUAACUGACACUGAUGAACGAAAGCCAGGGGAGCAAACGGG
rnacentral:rRNA from 1 species